rnacentral:rRNA from 1 species
CAUCGAGACUCCUACGGGAGGCAGCAGUGGGAAUAUUGCACAAUGGGCGCAAGCCUGAUGCAGCCAUGCCGCGUGUAUGAAGAAGGCCUUCGGGUUGUAAAGUACUUUCAGCAGUGAGGAAGGUGGUGCAGUUAAUAGCUGUAUCAUUUGACGUUAGCUGCAGAAGAAGCACCGGCUAACUCCGUGCCAGCAGCCGCGGUAAUACGGAGGGUGCGAGCGUUAAUCGGAAUUACUGGGCGUAAAGCGCAUGCAGGUGGUUUGUUAAGUCAGAUGUGAAAGCCCCGGGGCUCAACCUCGGAAUUGCAUUUGAAACUGGCAGACUAGAGUACUGUAGAGGGGGUAGAAUUUCAGGUGUAGCGGUGAAAUGCGUAGAGAUCUGAAGGAAUACCGGUGGCGAAGGCGGCCCCCUGGACAGAUACUGACACUCAGAUGCGAAAGCGUGGGGAGCAAACAGGAUUAGAUACCCUGGUAG